AUGACGGGUACCGGAAGAAGAAGCCCCGGCUAACUUCGUGCCAGCAGCCGCGGUAAUACGAGGGGGGCGAGCGUUGUUCGGAAUUAUUGGGCGUAAAGGGCGCGUAGGCGGUCGGAUAAGUCUUGUGUGAAAUCUUCGGGCUCAACUCGAAGUCUGCACAGGAAACUAUCUGGCUUGAGUGUGGGAGAGGUGAGUGGAAUUCCAGGUGUAGCGGUGAAAUGCGUAGAUAUCAGGAGGGACACCUGUGGCGAAAGCGGCUCACUGGACCACAACUGACGCUGAGGCGCGAAAGCUAGGGGAGCAAACAGGAUUAGAUACCCUGGUAGUCCUAGCCCUAAACGAUGAUCGCUUGGUGUGACGGGUACCCAAUCCCGCCGUGCCGAAGCUAACGCGUUAAGCGAUCCGCCUGGGGAGUACGGUCGCAAGGCUGAAACUCGAAGGAAUUGACGGGGGCCCGCACAAGCGGUGGAGCAUGUGGUUUAAUUCGACGCAACGCGAAGAACCUUACCUGGGCUCGAAAUGUAGUGGAAUCCGGUGGAAACAUCGGCGCCCAGCAAUGG
rnacentral:rRNA from 1 species